GAUGAACGCUGGCGGCGUGCCUAAUACAUGCAAGUCGAGCGAACAGACGAGAGUGCUUGCACUCUCUGACGUUAGCGGCGGACGGGUGAGUAACACGUGGGUAACCUACCUAUAAGACUGGGAUAACUUCGGGAAACCGGAGCUAAUACCGGAUAAUAUUUAGCUUCGCAUGAAGCAAUAGUGAAAGACGGUUCUGCUGUCACUUAUAGAUGGACCCGCGGUGUAUUAGCUAGUUGGUGAGGUAACGGCUCACCAAGGCAACGAUACAUAGCCGACCUGAGAGGGUGAUCGGCCACACUGGGACUGAGACACGGCCCAGACUCCUACGGGAGGCAGCAGUAGGGAAUCUUCCGCAAAGGACGAAAGUCUGACGGAGCAAUGCCGCGUGAGUGAAGAAGGUGUUCGGAUCGUAAAACUCUGUUGUAAGGGAAGAACAAGUACGUUAGUAACUGAACGUACCUUGACGGUACCUUAACAGAAAGCCACGGCUAACUACGUG
rnacentral:rRNA from 1 species